rnacentral:rRNA from 1 species
GAUGAACGCUAGCGGCAUGCCUAACACAUGCAAGUCGAGGGGUAGAAGGAGCUUGCUCCUUUGAGACCGGCGCACGGGUGCGUAACGCGUAUGCAAUCUACCUUGUACAGGGGAAUAGCCCAGAGAAAUUUGGAUUAAUGCCCCAUAGUAUAUAACCUUCGCAUGUUGGUUAUAUUAAAGUUCCAACGGUACAAGAUGAGCAUGCGUCCCAUUAGUUAGUUGGUAAGGUAACGGCUUACCAAGACGAUGAUGGGUAGGGGUCCUGAGAGGGAGAUCCCCCACACUGGUACUGAGACACGGACCAGACUCCUACGGGAGGCAGCAGUGAGGAAUAUUGGUCAAUGGUCGCAAGACUGAACCAGCCAUGCCGCGUGCAGGAAGACGGUCCUAUGGAUUGUAAACUGCUUUUAUACAGGAAGAAACCCUCCAACGUGUGGGAGCUUGACGGUACUGUAGGAAUAAGGAUCGGCUAACUCCGUG